GACUUGAAAACUGUGCACUGCCUGGUGCUACAAUGGGUAUUAGAGCUCUCCCAUUCCCACAGCAAGGAUCCCAGCCUUGGCUGAGUUUUCCAGGGCUGGUGGCAGCAGGCUUUCUCUACCCCUGGAGUACACACCAAAGUGCUCUCCAAGAGAGAGACACGAAGCAGUCCUGGGGCAGCUUACUGCUUGCUCGGGAAAAACAAGGCUCUUCCAUUGGCAGCAACAGAAAACAUAACUCUGGGAGGUCUUAAUACACAGAGCAGCUUGCUCCAGGCUUGCCAAGUUCAAUCUCCUGGUCGCCAACUUCUUGCUCUGCUGAGACAACUGGAGAACUGCGCCAGUGAUGUCAGCAGCACCACUAAUCAGUGCUGGGCCAGGAUGUCUGACCCUGGGGAGAAAGUCUCUUUAUAUCCCAGCCCAUAAGUGUGCUUCCCUCCCCCAUCCUCCGUUCUACUGAGGAUCCAAGAGGAAGAACAGAAACAGCAAAGAACUACACAACUUGUAGAACAAGGAAGACUGUACUUCCAAUGUGAGGCUGAGUUUGUUCCCAAACGGCACAACAGUGAGUGUAACUUUGAGUCCAACCCGCACACAAUACUUCAUCAGUGGGGAGUGCAAAACACUCAUUUACAUAUUCAAUGUCUGUAAGUCCUCAGCAUGCAGGUGGAUGUCAGCCUCAAGGCAUUUCCUUUCUGAAAAAACACUUGCAAGUAUCAUAUGUGAACCUGGAAGCCAGAUCUUGUGGCAGGUGCUAACAGCUUUCACAAAGGCCCUCUGCAUCUCAGUGGUUCAAGUUUAAGCUGCGUGCAGUAUCUACAGCUUCGUCUCCCAUCCCAAACUACUGAACACAACUGUGGGUUUCCAGUAACAAAGAUUCCCACCUACCGCCAUCUUUCCUCCCACCCAAAUUCAACAGCCAUCCUCCAUCUUAGUUACAGCCUCCAUCUUUAAAUAAAUAAAUAAAAAGGUAAAUGUUCAAGACAGUUACAUCACCAGCAGCUGUCUACCCAGAUUCUCUUCAGUUUAUGGAGAAAAUUAAGCACAUUUCAGCAGUGAAUCGGACCAAAUGUGACCUCAGCCACCUCAGAGAUAUCUGUCACUCUCUACUAUAGAAGGUGAUGGAUGAAUGCGCUUCUGCCUUUGGUAUCUUCAGUAACCGUAACAAGAUGUGAUGAAAUUCCCAUUGGGAAUCCUCUGUAAAGAGCAGUGAGAAAGCUGGAGCUGAGGACUACAAAUGGAUUUUAUAUUCUCCCCAUGCUCUCACAUCCUUUAGAGAGCCUCCAAGUCUUCCGCAAAUUCUAUAUGUAACACUGUUAUUAGCAGUUUAGUUCAGGACAACCCAAGUCAUUACUGAUGAUGCUGGCUGAGAAAAACCUCAGCAGAAUAGGGAAGGAAUGCAUGUUUUCUGAACAGAAAAAUCAAUAUUAUCCUGCAUUAGGAACCAAAAAGAGAAUCAGACUCUGCCUGGCAAGAUUAUUCCUGUUUUUAUGGCAGCAUGCAGACUUCUACAACAGAGCAUCCCAGGAAUUUCAACCUAAUCUCAGCCACCUGUGCCUACAGCUGAACAAUUGAGGCCCGGUUCUAUUGGGUGGUGAGCCCUGGCAAAACUCACUGACUUCACUGGGAGCUGUGGUCACCCACAUAGCCACAUCCUUCCACUGCCCUGCAGAUGGAGGGGCUGCCCACAGCUGGAAGAACACAUCCUUUCCUCCACUGUAGCAUUGAGUCCCAUAUACAGCUCCAUCCCCCUCCUGCUGUGGGAGACACUAUGGUGCUUAUAUUUCAGCACAGAAAAAAAAAACUUCUUUUAAUUUUAAUUAACCAGAAAAACCAUUCUGAGGCCUACUGACUUGGCUGCUAAUAAGCUUGAACUGGAGCAGCAUCUGAAUUCCUGAAGCAAUAAAUCCAGAACUGAGUUACUAAACUGACAGCUCUCAUAAAAGAAAGAAAGAAAGGCAACUAAGUAAAACAUCCUAAGGAAAUUAUCCUUCAAAUUAACUGCAGACAUAAAUUUAUCCAUCUGUUAUCAUAUGUGUUACUUGAAAAUUAUUUGCCCAUAAAAAUGAAAUAAACCAGAGUGAUUUUUUUCUUAAA